GGAACUCCCUCGCCUCACCCCACCUGAUUUUUAUUCCCGUGGGAGCCGGUAGAAAAAACAAAAAAAACUGCGUGACAAAACCUAAUCCUUCCCACGAUCACACCCCACCCAUUUAUCCUCUGCCGCCGUUCCCCACGGACGCCAUGGCUGUCGCAGCCUCCCGAUCUGCGACGCCGCCUACCACAGUCUCCACUCGCGCUGCGAUGUCCGCGGUCUCCACUCAGAUCAAUCCGCCGUUGACCCCGUAUCCUCCCUCCCGAUGGGAUCCGGCCUCCACCACUGUCCACGGGGCAACCGGAUGUCGGGAUCCACCACUCCUCGGCCGCCGAUUGGCCUCCAUGACCGCGCCUCGCCAAUGCUUGCUUCCCCGCAUCCUGCCCUUCAUCGAUAUGGACUCAUGCUCCUCGACCCCAUAGUGCCGUGCUGGAUGCGUGCUCCACAGCUGCACAUCCCCUCCUCGUCGAGCCCUGGCGCAGACGCGUGGGGUGUUGCUGUUCUGGCUGAUGUCCUACCUGUGCAGGCAUGAACACACCUAUCAGAUGUCCUACUCCUACCUGUGUAGGCACGAACACAUGUAUAUGAAUGAUUAAUGGCUGCUGCCUUGAACCAUUAGCACAUUAGUGUUGCCUGCGUUGAUCAAACGUUUGCCCUGUAUAGCCUGCUCAUCGUCGACGGCGGCGGCAAGAUAAGCAGGCUCGAGAUAAUCGCGCUGCUCCACUCGCUCGGGGUCUGUGCGCACGGGACGAGAUCAGCUUGGUGAUGGUAAAUGCACCGUCAAGUUCGACGGGGUCGCCCUCUCCUUCGCAACUUCUCCUCUAACCUUGUCCCUCCUCCAUCUCCGUCGACCACUAGCAGGUCGCCGAGGCCUUCCACGCAUUUGACCAAGACAACAGCGGAUACAUCUGAACUGCCCAGCUCGUGUGCUCCAUGAUGGCAUUACAAGUGGCUGGAGGAAUGGUGUAUGCUCACAAGGUGCGUGAUCCUUCUAUCAAAUUCUGGCUAUAUGUGCAUGGCCUCAUUGGUACUAAUUUAGCUAUACUUGGGUUUCUAUACGCCAAGUUGUUUCACCCAGACAAGAAUCCCACAAAACUUAAUGUGGUGUGGAAGUUUCAGGUACUUCAUUCUCCUCUGCUAUAUUGCGUCGUGUGCUCCACGCCUGUGCCUUCUGAUUCAGGAGUGCCCAGUGACAAAAUGUGUUAUAUUUGUAGAGUCGAUGCUGUUUAAAAAUGGUUUCCACGCAAUGGUUUCCAGUUAUGUGAAACCAAGCCACUGAUGGAGCUAGAGAGGAAGUUCAGGGGGGGCAAAUGAUAAAACAUCUAGACUUGAGGGGGCCAAAUACUAGAUUUAUACUCAUCUACACCCUCUAAAAGUAUUUAAGUGUGAAUACUAUAUUUUGUUAUAACACACAGGAAACCCAAGGUUUGAGGCCAGAGAUUUACCUUGGAUGUUGCAUGUGCAUUACUUACUUUAGCUAAUCGUCCUACCGUCGGGCUUUUAGUUGAAAUUCACUUUAUUUCUUGUAAUGACAUUUUAGGGAUAAUACGAUCGACCCAACAGUUAGCUUUGGGAUGCUUUUUGGGGUCGACUCAUGAAGAUGAUGGCUAGCUUGCACCAACAUUUGUAGCUUCUGUAUAAAUGAUUCAGAUAGUCUACAAGCAAGGGAAAUGAUUAUAGGGAAUAAAUAGCUCAACGACGGCGAUUCAAGCACCGAUGCGGGUGACCUAGCCAUUUGACGCCACCUACUCGACCUACGCAAGCGGCAUCAUGGAGGGCAUGGAGCUCCUGGCCUCCCAAGGACGCCGCCGGGCUCGUCUCGUUAGCCCGCCAUGGUUGCAAUAUAGAAACCCUUAAUGACACACGUGUCCCUUUUUCCCUCCGCGUUGCUUCUGUGGAUCAAAACCCUAGCAAACUCCUCUCCAAACACGCGAUCGAUUCCGUUCGUAUACAUCUGAUGGUUUAACAAAGAUGCAACAAAUUUCAUUUUGUAGUUUUGCCUGUGGAGGUGAUUGUCAUUGAAAAGCAUACUUUUUUGAAUGGAUGUUACUUGCCAACUCGGAUGCCUCUUUAUAUUUUUAAAAUUGUUUGUAAACCAUGGGUGCGACUUCAUUGUUUGCAAAACAUGGAUUCGACUUAUUUCGGCAUUGGUAGUGUGGAAAUUGACAUGGGAUGCACUAUACUGUUGCUUGUUCUUUGGCCAAUCCUAAACAUAAUUCUCUAUUUUUUAUGUGUCUCUAUGUUGAACUCGUACGGGGUUUCUUAGUAUGUAGAGAUAAUAAUAUGCAAAUUCAGUGAUACAUACGCAGAAUGUUUGUUUGUUCUCUUUAAGUAAUUAUACAGAUCAACAAUAUUAAAUAUUAGAUGACACAUUGGCCACAUCAUCCAGUAAAAGUGUUAAUCCUAAUAAAUCAAGGAUGGAUGCUGAUUCUAGACAUUGGUAGAAGCUAAUAAGUUACAUCCUUGAGUAAUACGAGAGAAUUAAUAUUUCGAUGUAGGUAAACCUAUCCAGCACGGUACACAAGCUCUUGUUAGUUGCACUAUAUUAGAAUUUUAACUUCCCAGAUUCGAUUUUUUUUGUACCGAAGCUAAACCUAUCCAGCGUGUUUGACCUGAAGGAACUGACAUGGUUGUCAAAAAGACUAGAGGUAAAUUGCUUGGUACUUACACUGUUAUGUUACUGCUAUUAGUCAUUGCAUGUGAAAAAAUGUAAUGAAUAGACCCUUAUGUUUCAAGGUAUGUAUUUACUGAUAUUUUUUUAGUACUUUCUUGCGAGCGUGUAGUUUUAAAAAGAACAACACAAAGAACACAUAAUUCAUGACACAACUUUGGAUAUCAGUAUAAAAGGUUUUGCCGUGGAGUUUUAUGCGCCAUACUUUUGCCGCUUUUAUUGUGUCCUUUGUUAUAUUCUUUUUUAUUAGAACUAAAAGUUAGCAUGCCGGAAAUGUGGGUUUAAGCCCUGGCCGUCUUCAGUUGACAAAAUUACCCUACUUUUUUUUAUCACAUUUGGAGGAUCUGUCAUUUUGAGAAAGUCAUUAUCUCAACUGCAACCAGGCAGUUUGGCCAAAGAUGUAGGAUGAUCCAGUUCUUUUGGACUCCAAUUGUUUGGAUUGGUACUUUUGAAUUUCUUUCGUAAACGAAUGUGGAGAAUGGGAGAGGAUCUGCAGUUAUAAAAAUUUGUGCAUGGAGUUUUUUUAAGAUCCUAUUGUUGUUUGUCUUUUCCCACUGUAACUGUUCACUAAUUAUGAAAUGAUUUUUCUUUCUUUUGGAUUGAUUGGACUGUCCGACAAGUGGAUUCGUGGGACUAUCUGAGAAGAUGAAACAACUAACUGUUGUUUUACAAUAGGACAAUUGCUCCUGAGAGGUGGAACACUUGGAUGGUGGGUACAUUAAAGCAGAUCAAGUCUCUGAGGCCCUCAUGAUGACAUGGAGCAAUCUUGAGAGUCUACGAUAUGAAGUUUGGUCUUAAAAGGAGAGUCUACGAUAUGAAGUUUGUGUUUGAGUCAAAUACUAUUAGGCAGAUAGGUCUCCUUAUGUUGACAACACUGAAAUGGAGAAUGCAGGUCAUGUUGUCAUCCUCUUUGGAUAAAUUUGGUUAUGGAACCCCUUGAGGUCAAACACUAAGCUUGCGGUGUGCUGAGAACAAAAUGUUGCCAUUAUCAAAUGUUCCAUUAACAUUA